rnacentral:rRNA from 1 species
UACCUGCACCCCGAGUGGUCGGGACGAUUAUUGGGCCUAAAGCAUCCGUAGCCGGUCCUGCAAGUCUUCCGUUAAAUCCAGCUGCUCAACAGAUGGGCUGCGGGAGAUACUACAGGGCUAGGAGGCGGGAGAGGCAAGCGGUACUUUAUGGGUAGGGGUAAAAUCCGCUGAUCCAUAGAAGACCACCAGUGGCGAAGGCGGCUUGCCAGAACGCGCUCGACGGUGAGGGAUGAAAGCUGGGGGAGCAAACCGG